rnacentral:rRNA from 1 species
GGGGAAUCUUGCGCAAUGGGCGAAAGCCUGACGCAGCGACGCCGCGUGAGCGAUGAAGGCCUUCGGGUUGUAAAGCUCUGUGGGGAGGAAAGAAUAAGGUCCGGCUAAUACCCGGACUGAUGACGGUACCUCCUUAGCAAGCACCGGCUAACUCUGUGCCAGCAGCCGCGGUAAGACAGAGGGUGCAAACGUUGUUCGGAAUCACUGGGCGUAAAGCGCGUGUAGGCGGCAGGGUGUGUCGGAUGUGAAAUCCCAUGGCUCAACCAUGGAAGUGCACCCGAAACUACCCAGCUCGAGUCUCGGAGAGGAAAGUGGAAUGCUUGGUGUAGAGGUGAAAUUCGUAGAUAUCAAGCGGAACACCGGUGGCGAAGGCGGCCUUCUGGACGAUGACUGACGCUGAGACGCGAAAGCGUGGGGAGCAAA